GCCUCUGUGGGUUAUGGAAAUCAUCUCGAGAGACUUACUCCCGCGAGUUGUGUAUAUCUUGCGAGAAGAUGUGGGUUCGAGUCCCACCGGAGGCA